rnacentral:rRNA from 1 species
CCUACGGGAGGCAGCAGUGGGGGAUAUUGGGCAAUGGGCGCAAGCCUGACCCAGCAACGCCGCGUGGAGGAAGAAGGCUUUCGGGUUGUAAACUUCUUUUCUCAGGGACGAAACAAGUGACGGUACCUGAGGAAUAAGCCACGGCUAACUACGUGCCAGCCGCCGCGAUAAUACGUAGGUGGGAAGUGUUAUCAGGUUCUACUGGGUGUAAGGGGCGUGUAGGCGGGCAUGCAAGUCAGAUGUGAACACCCCGGGCUCAACCCGUGGACUGCAUUUGAAACUGUGUGUCUUGAGUACUGGAGGGGCAGGCGGAAUUCCUAGUGUAGCGGUGAAAUGCGUAGAUAUUAGGAGGAACAACAGUGGCGAAGGUGGUCUGCUGGACAGCAACUGACGCUGAGGCGCGAAAGCGUGGGGAGCAAACAGGAUUAGAUACCCGUGUAGUC